rfam:Flavobacterium frigoris PS1 66_22, whole genome shotgun sequence.
GGCACAGACCGCCUUAUCGCCGUUUUGAGUGAUCAAGAAGGAGGAAAGUCCGGACACCAUAGAGAAGCAUAGCGGGUAACACCCGUCGGUUUUGUCUGAAAGGAUGAGAUUAGGACAAGUGCAACAGAAAGUAUGUACAGGUAAUGCUGUAGUGAAACCAGGUAAACUCUAUGCGGUGAAAUAUCAAGUAUAUCAGCAUUUAAGGGCGUCUCGUCCGUUGUUGAAGGGUAGAUAGUUUGAGCUUAUGAGUAAUUGUAAGCCUAGAUAAAUGAUAAGGGUUCGCCUCGGCGAAUACAGAAUCCGGCUUAUAGGUCUGUUUUUUUU